rnacentral:ncRNA from 1 species
GGAAAGGCAAUGAUGGGGAGGAGUAGGCGAGCCUACCUCGACAGAGAGGAAACCCGCAGGCUGAAAGGUUUCCGGGGGAAUGCGCUGAAGGUCGCCCCAGAGCUCUGCUGUUGAAGAAAAGUAGACAGCAGCGGGUCUGCCCGUUACAGCUGUAGAGGGUUUCUCUGCUGUUCCGGCAGGGAAAAACUAAGGUGGUACCGCGGAAGCCUGGCUCUUUCGCCCUUAGG